UACGUAGGGUCCGAGCGUUGUCCGGAAUUAUUGGGCGUAAAGGGCUCGUAGGCGGUCUGUUGCGUCGGGAGUGAAAACUUACAGCUUAACUGUGAGCGUGCUUUCGAUACGGGCAGACUUGAGGCAUUCAGGGGAGAACGGAAUUCCUGGUGUAGCGGUGAAAUGCGCAGAUAUCGGGAAGAACACCCGUGGCGAAGGCGGUUCUCUGGGACGGUACUGACGCUGAGACGCGAAAGCGUGGGGAGCGAACAGG
rnacentral:rRNA from 1 species